UAGGGAAUCUUCGGCAAUGGACGAAAGUCUGACCGAGCAACGCCGCGUGAGUGAAGAAGGUUUUCGGAUCGUAAAACUCUGUUGUUAGAGAAGAACAAGGACGUUAGUAACUGAACGUCCCCUGACGGUAUCUAACCAGAAAGCCACGGCUAACUACGUGCCAGCAGCCGCGGUAAUACGUAGGUGGCAAGCGUUGUCCGGAUUUAUUGGGCGUAAAGCGAGCGCAGGCGGUUUCUUAAGUCUGAUGUGAAAGCCCCCGGCUCAACCGGGGAGGGUCAUUGGAAACGGGGAGACUUGAGUGCAGAAGAGGAGAGUGGAAUUCCAUGUGUAGCGGUGAAAUGCGUAGACAUAUGGGGGAACACCAGUGGCGAAGGCGGCUCUCUGGUCUGUAACUGACGCUGAGGCUCGAAAGCGUGGGGAGCAAACAGG
rnacentral:rRNA from 1 species